CAGCCGCCGCGGUAAUACGUAGGGUGCAAGCGUUAAUCGGAAUUACUGGGCGUAAAGCGUGCGCAGGCGGUUUGUUAAGACAGAUGUGAAAUCCCCGGGCUCAACCUGGGAACUGCAUUUGUGGCUGGCAAGCUAGAGUAUGGCAGAGGGGGGUGGAAUUCCGCGUGUAGCAGUGAAAUGCGUAGAUAUGCGGAGGAACACCGAUGGCGAAGGCAGCCCCCUGGGCCAAUACUGACGCUCAUGCACGAAAGCGUGGGGAGCAAACAGGAUUAGAUACCCCCGUAGUCCCUGUCUCUUAUAC
rnacentral:rRNA from 1 species